rnacentral:rRNA from 2 species
GGGUUGUGAGGUUAAGCGACUAAGCGUACACGGUGGAUGCCCUGGCAGUCAGAGGCGAUGAAGGACGUGCUAAUCUGCGAUAAGCGUCGGUAAGGUGAUAUGAACCGUUAUAACCGGCGAUUUCCGAAUGGGGAAACCCAGUGUGAUUCGUCACACUAUCAUUACGUGAAUACAUAGCGUAAUGAAGCGAACCGGGGGAACUGAAACAUCUAAGUACCCCGAGGAAAAGAAAUCAACCGAGAUUCCCCCAGUAGCGGCGAGCGAACGGGGAGCAGCCCAGAGUCUGAAUCAGCUUGUGUGUUAGUGGAACGGUCUGGAAAGUCCGACGGUACAGGGUGAUAGUCCCGUACACCAAAAUGCACAGGUUGUGAACUCGAAGAGUAGGGCGGGACACGUGGUAUCCUGUCUGAAUAUGGGGGGACCAUCCUCCAAGGCUAAAUACUCCUGACUGACCGAUAGUGAACCAGUACCGUGAGGGAAAGGCGAAAAGAACCCCGGCGAGGGGAGUGAAAAAGAACCUGAAACCGUGUACGUACAAGCAGUGGGAGCACCCUUUGGGGUGUGACUGCGUACCUUUUGUAUAAUGGGUCAGCGACUUAUAUUCUGUAGCAAGGUUAACCGUAUAGGGGAGCCGAAGGGAAACCGAGUCUUAACUGGGCGUUAAGUUGCAGGGUAUAGACCCGAAACCCGGUGAUCUAGCCAUGGGCAGGUUGAAGGUUGGGUAACACUAACUGGAGGACCGAACCGACUAAUGUUGAAAAAUUAGCGGAUGACUUGUGGCUGGGGGUGAAAGGCCAAUCAAACCGGGAGAUAGCUGGUUCUCCCCGAAAGCUAUUUAGGUAGCGCCUCGUGAACUCAUCUUCGGGGGUAGAGCACUGUUUCGGCUAGGGGGUCAUCCCGACUUACCAACCCGAUGCAAACUGCGAAUACCGAAGAAUGUUAUCACGGGAGACACACGGCGGGUGCUAACGUCCGUCGUGAAGAGGGAAACAACCCAGACCGCCAGCUAAGGUCCCAAAGUCAUGGUUAAGUGGGAAACGAUGUGGGAAGGCACAGACAGCCAGGAUGUUGGCUUAGAAGCAGCCAUCAUUUAAAGAAAGCGUAAUAGCUCACUGGUCGAGUCGGCCUGCGCGGAAGAUGUAACGGGGCUAAACCAUGCACCGAAGCUGCGGCAGCGACACUAUGUGUUGUUGGGUAGGGGAGCGUUCUGUAAGCCGUUGAAGGUGUACUGUGAGGUAUGCUGGAGGUAUCAGAAGUGCGAAUGCUGACAUAAGUAACGAUAAUGCGGGUGAAAAACCCGCACGCCGGAAGACCAAGGGUUCCUGUCCAACGUUAAUCGGGGCAGGGUGAGUCGACCCCUAAGGCGAGGCCGAAAGGCGUAGUCGAUGGGAAACAGGUUAAUAUUCCUGUACUUGGUGUUACUGCGAAGGGGGGACGGAGAAGGCUAUGUUAGCCGGGCGACGGUUGUCCCGGUUUAAGCAUGUAGGCGGAGGUUCCAGGUAAAUCCGGUACCUUUUUAACGCUGAGGUGUGAUGACGAGGCACUACGGUGCUGAAGUAACAAAUGCCCUGCUUCCAGGAAAAGCCUCUAAGCAUCAGGUAACACGAAAUCGUACCCCAAACCGACACAGGUGGUCAGGUAGAGAAUACCAAGGCGCUUGAGAGAACUCGGGUGAAGGAACUAGGCAAAAUGGUGCCGUAACUUCGGGAGAAGGCACGCUGAUAUGUAGGUGAAGCGGUUUACCCGUGGAGCUGAAAUCAGUCGAAGAUACCAGCUGGCUGCAACUGUUUAUUAAAAACACAGCACUGUGCAAACACGAAAGUGGACGUAUACGGUGUGACGCCUGCCCGGUGCCGGAAGGUUAAUUGAUGGGGUUAUCCGUAAGGAGAAGCUCUUGAUCGAAGCCCCGGUAAACGGCGGCCGUAACUAUAACGGUCCUAAGGUAGCGAAAUUCCUUGUCGGGUAAGUUCCGACCUGCACGAAUGGCGUAAUGAUGGCCAGGCUGUCUCCACCCGAGACUCAGUGAAAUUGAACUCGCUGUGAAGAUGCAGUGUACCCGCGGCAAGACGGAAAGACCCCGUGAACCUUUACUAUAGCUUGACACUGAACACUGGUCCUUGAUGUGUAGGAUAGGUGGGAGGCUUUGAAGUGUGGACGCCAGUCUGCAUGGAGCCAUCCUUGAAAUACCACCCUUUAAUGGCUGGUGUUCUAACGUGGACCCGUGAUCCGGGUUGCGGACAGUGUCUGGUGGGUAGUUUGACUGGGGCGGUCUCCUCCUAAAGAGUAACGGAGGAGCACGAAGGUUAGCUAAUCCUGGUCGGACAUCAGGAGGUUAGUGCAAAGGCAUAAGCUAGCUUGACUGCGAGAGUGACGGCUCGAGCAGGUGCGAAAGCAGGUCUUAGUGAUCCGGUGGUUCUGAAUGGAAGGGCCAUCGCUCAACGGAUAAAAGGUACUCCGGGGAUAACAGGCUGAUACCGCCCAAGAGUUCAUAUCGACGGCGGUGUUUGGCACCUCGAUGUCGGCUCAUCACAUCCUGGGGCUGAAGUAGGUCCCAAGGGUAUGGCUGUUCGCCAUUUAAAGUGGUACGCGAGCUGGGUUUAGAACGUCGUGAGACAGUUCGGUCCCUAUCUGCCGUGGGCGCUGGAGAAUUGAGGGGGGCUGCUCCUAGUACGAGAGGACCGGAGUGGACGCAUCACUGGUGUUCGGGUUGUCAUGCCAAUGGCAUUGCCCGGUAGCUAAAUGCGGAAGAGAUAAGUGCUGAAAGCAUCUAAGCACGAAACUUGCCCCGAGAUGAGUUCUCCCUGAGACUUUAAGUCUCCUGAAGGAACGUUGAAGACGACGACGUUGAUAGGUCGGGUGUGUAAGCGUAGCGAUACGUUGAGCUAACCGAUACUAAUGAACCGUGAGGCUUAACCUUACAACGCCGAAG